rnacentral:antisense_RNA from 1 species
CUUCAUCGAGCCGAGGUGGAGCGGGAGGCCCGCGUCGCGCUCCUGGCCGUAGGUGGCGAGGAGCGCCUGCGCCUC